rnacentral:lncRNA from 1 species
AUAUUAAAGUGUGCAGAAUAUGUUACACUCAUACUGUGUCAGGUUUUAUUUACCUCGUCUUUUAAACCUGCAUCUAUGAAUCAGGUAGAAGAUGAGGAGGAGGAUGAUGAGGAGCAAGGGGACAACGAUACCUAUCACCAAAGGGAGAGGUGGUUUUUGUUCUGGAGGAGCGACUGGAAGACAAAUUCAUAAUUAAUAACUCAGUAAGACUUGGUAAGACUUCAGAUCAUCAUUGUAGACCUACUUGUACUUGAUGAUGGUGAUGCUGUAGUAGUAAGUGUCGUCAUAGUCGGCUUCGUAGUUGUAGUUCUCUUCUUAGUUCUCUUCUUAGUCGGCUUCUUAGUCGUAGUCGUAGUCGGCUUCGUAGUCGUAGUUGGCUUUGUAGUCGACAUCGUAGUCGGCAUCGUAGUCGUAGUCGUAGUUGGCUUCGUAGUCGUAGUUGGCUUCGUAGUCGGCUUCGUAGUCGGCUUUGUAGUUGUUGGUGGUGGUGGUGUGGUUUUCUUUUUUCCUUGCGAGAAACAAGAUUCAGUUCAGUUUGGAAAUCCCAUCAAAUUUAUAAAAAUG